rnacentral:ncRNA from 24 species
UGCGAUGAGUCGAGAUAGACCAGGCAACAUUUUGUUGUUUCGCUGCGGCGACUAGUGGUCAGUGUCGAUAGCAGGGCACAUUUAGCUACCGGAUGUAGCGUGCUUGAAUGGUCUACAUUGUGGAGUGU